UUAGCCGUUACCCAGAAUAUCUAUGUGCAGCCAUUAAGCAGUGGUUAACUUCAGAUUAUGCCAAUCAGAAAAAUAACAGAGUUAAGAACGGAAGAUCAAAGAUGGGAAUUUUGAUCUUACUUGCCAUCCUUUCGGAAUGAGGUGUAUUUCAUCUUGCCAAGGUCUUCCCAAAUUAGGGACUCUCCAGGUGACUUGCUCUGUGCAAUCUCUUCUUGCUCUGCAUUCCCACAAGCUUAUUUAGAAGAAACCCGAAAGGCAGAGCGAAUCGAGUCUGAAUGAAAUUCAGAUGGUUUCUUACCUUUAAGGACGGCUGCAUAGACGUUUGGAUUCUUUGCUAAAAGCUUACUAUGAAAGUUAUCAAGAUGGAUGAAGUGUCAUGUCCAGCAAUCAUGAUGAGCAUGACAUUAUGAAUGAUUUCAUUUUCAGAUAUGAGUUCUUGAUUGUUCUCUCCACCGACGCUGAGCAAACAGGUGAUGAGAUCCUGGUGGGAUGAAGCUAAGUUGUUGUUGAGCUCAUGGCGUUUCUCGGAAAUAAGUUGUUUCAGCAUUUUCUGGACAUCUUUGCUUGCCUGAAGGCUGCGAUUGAAGCGCGUAAAAGGCAAGUUUAUAGGGAUUGACCAUAUUCCUUCUAUCAUCUGCUGGAAAUGAUGAACCAUCUGGUCUCUUCGCGCUCCACGUUCAAGCCUGAAAAGGAGAGAGCAAAUAAUGUUGAAGGUGAGUGUCUUCAUCAAAGGUAAUACCUACCAUCAACACCAUACACAAAAGUUAGUUGUAAAUGUCUAAGGUUGCAUGCAGCACCCAAGAGUGUGGCCUAGUGGUCAAUGAAGUGGGUGAGAACCAUGAGGUCUAAGGUUCAAAUCCCAACAGAGGCAGAAACACUAGGUGAUCUCUUCCCACCUGUCCUAGCCUUGGUGGACAGAGUUACCUGGUACCUAUUGCUGGUGAGAGGUGGCGUGUAUCCGUGGCAUGUAUCCCAUGAAAUUAGUUGAGGUGCACGUAAGCUGGCCCGGACACCAUGGUUAUCCAAAAAAAAAGCAUAAGAUUGCAUGCAAGAAUAGUAGGGUGGUCCAUGACAAACCUUAAUUAUUUGCUUGCCUUCCCAUUAAGUCUCAAGGUGGAUUCUGACUUCGUCGCCCAUCUUUCUGACAUAACGCUUCAGACUAUCUGGCUUCAAGAAUGAUAGAAGGGCAUCUCUAACCCGUUUAUGACCUGCACCGUUGAGUUCCAAAAGGCAACGAUCGCCCAGAAUCAUCUUGACUGACUGUGUCUGCUGGUUAGUGAGGACAGAGGCAUCACUGGUAAAUACAAACUUGUUAGCAGCCUGUCCAUAAAUGAAUACAGUGGGUUUGCCAAAGAGGCUUAGUUUUGAGAUAGGACCAUAUUUUUGGACUCUUUCCUCGAGCCAUUUCUCUGCUGUGUUGGCUUUCAUUGCUCUUAGCAAGCCAAGGCUUUGACCGAUGAUCGGAAAUCCAAGGGAACCUGGUGGGACCCUCUUCGAUGAUCUUCUCCUCUCCGAACAAGGAGAAGGAAUACCGGCAGUAGAAAUAGGAAAAUCAUUAAGAUAAUGUUCAUGAUUGGGGUGAAUAAGGAAAGAGCUUAGAGGUAGUAGGUUUUUAUAUAAUCUUCUCGUGUUGUCGACUUCGUUGGUUACUGAAGAAGUAUCUUAGCUCCAUUAUGGUAUUCCUGAAACAAAAAUAUGCCCCAUCUUGAGAUACCAGAACAUACUUUCCUAUAUGGCUGUGGAUUGUGGUGUCUAACUGAACGACAUGUCCAAAAAGAAUGGUAUUGGUAAACAUAACUCUUGUGCUUGGUUUUCCACUAAAAACAAGUAGUGCAAAGUCCAAAUCAAUCAUGUGAUGAAAGUGGGGGUGAUCUUUACUAAGUUGUGUGGCUGGAAGGACGUGCUUGUUUUACAUGAACUAUUCUUCUUAUUAUAUGUUUUGCUGUAUCUUUUGUAUACUUGAGAUGCCAAUUAUUAAUGUGGCAGGGUGGCAACAAAAUGAGAGCCUCGAUUUCUGAUGCAACUAUUAAGCUAUACUGUUGAAAUUUAACCCUGGUAUGUAGCUCCUUAUGUGUAACACUACCCUUUUAAGCCAUACGGCUUGAGAUCCAUAUACAGUUCAAAAC